GGAUGCGAUCAUACCAGCACUAAAGCACCGGAUCCUAUCAGAACUCCAAAGUUAAGCAUGCUUGGGCGGGCGGCGCAGUGG
rfam:Triticum aestivum genome assembly, contig: Triticum_aestivum_CS42_TGACv1_scaffold_020748_1AS